rnacentral:rRNA from 1 species
UGCAGUCGAACGGCAGCGCGGGCUUCGGCCUGGCGGCGAGUGGCGCAUGGGUGAGUAAUGCAUCGGAACGUGCCCAAGAGUGGGGGAUAACUAGUCGAAAGAUUAGCUAAUACCGCAUACGAUCUAAGGAUGAAAGUGGGGGACCGCAAGGCCUCAUGCUCCUGGAGCGGCCGAUGUCUGAUUAGCUAGUUGGUGGGGUAAAAGCCUACCAAGGCGACGAUCAGUAGCUGGUCUGAGAGGACGACCAGCCACACUGGGACUGAGACACGGCCCAGACUCCUACGGGAGGCAGCAGUGGGGAAUUUUGGACAAUGGGGGAAACCCUGAUCCAGCAAUGCCGCGUGUGUGAAGAAGGCCUUCGGGUUGUAAAGCACUUUUGUCAGGAACGAAACGGUGAGGGCUAAUAUCCCUUGCUAAUGACGGUACCUGAAGAAUAAGCACCGGCUAACUACGUGCCAGCAGCCGCGGUAAUACGUAGGGUGCAAGCGUUAAUCGGAAUUACUGGGCGUAAAGCGUGCGCAGGCGGUUGUGCAAGACAGAUGUGAAAUCCCCGGGCUUAACCUGGGAAUGGCAUUUGUGACUGCACGGCUAGAGUGUGUCAGAGGGGGGUAGAAUUCCACGUGUAGCAGUGAAAUGCGUAGAUAUGUGGAGGAAUACCGAUGGCGAAGG